rnacentral:lncRNA from 1 species
GGGGCUUCCAGAACCCAAACCAAGUCAGCAGCCCCCAGCCCCAGCCCCAGCCCCAGCCCCAGCCCCAGCCCCGGCCUCCCCUGUCUGAGGUGUCUGGGUUUAAUUUUCUGGUCAGUGCAGAAAGCAGGAGGAAGAGGACGAGGAGGAGGAGAAGAAAGGAGCGAGUUGAAGUUCUAAUGCAGUCGGCUGGGAUCUGUCACUCAGCGCACAGCCCGCUGACGACUCAGGGCAGCCCCAGCUGUAAGCAGCCCAUGAUUUAUGGACACCGAGUGAACUCCUGCGGCAGAAACCAGCCUUGAGAUCAGAGCGGCAAUAGGGCCCUUUUUUUGGCAGGAGACAGGGCCUGCAUUUUUCUCAUUCAUGCCAAACUGCUUUGCACGGCAAUUAGCUCUGUCCUCAUUUAGUCUCCAGUCCCAAAGGGUAAUGAAAGUCAUAUAUCAUCUUCAAGACUGCUAAUUAUUGAGCUCGCUUACAGUUGUCCGCCGACCGUCUGGAUUGUAAUCCAAACCAGCAGACUUCCGUGGGUGCGGUUAACUAAGGGAAGUUGUUUUUUGUGAAGAGAUUGCUCCGAUACAAGCUAAUAAUCCAUCAUAUCCAGAAGCAAAACAAAGAGCAUGGACUUCGGAGACAGACUUCCAGGAAUCGGAUCUCAGUUCCAUCAUUUACUUGUCCUGUGAUCAUGAGCAAGGGACAAGAGGGCUCCGGCGCGCUCUCCUCCCCAGGCCUGGGAAACAGGUUCUCAAGCGCCCUCCGACCUCCAAUCGAUCCCAGUCUCCCGCCUGCGACAGGGGAUGCUUGGAGAGCGAGGAGAGGGACGCGGGGAGCGGCACCUCCCCCAGGCCGAGGCUGGGCGGCCGAGUCCCGACCUGCGCCGCUCUGAGCAAAACGAAACUCAAACUCCCAAAAUUCUCGACAGGGGAAUUUUAAAAAUUCCCCACCCCCCUUUCCUUUCACUUUUAACAAACCAGCAGCUGGGGGAAAAAUUAAACGAAAUGAGCGAUAGCUAAGGACGCUAUCUUUCCAAACUGUGAAACCCCUUUAAAAAAUAUUUUCGAAGGCCAGCCCCACAACUGGCCAGCUCUUCUGAAGCCUAUGCCUCUUCCUGAAAAUCACAUCAAAACAGUCGGAAAUGCGGCCAAGGUCCUGGGAUGGAGUAGCCGAGAGGCCCAGAGAACCCGCUGCUGCUGAAACCGCCAUGCUCUUCUUUCUCUUUAACCAAAAAAUAAAAAAGAUAAUAAUAAGAAGUAAAACCUUUUAAUACAUCAAAUAUACGGAAUUUUAAUCUUUAAAGCGAUACAUUGUCUAUUAUUUUAGUACAUGACGUAAACCUUACUUGUCCCCUUCUCAGCGGGUGGACUUAAAAAUUAAAAAUAGUUAAGUGUUCCUUUUAAAGAACAAAAUAAGGCAAAUGAGGUUUUGGAAUAGAAUUGUUUUUCCUUUUUUUUUUUUUGUUUUCUUCCAGAAUACAUACAAAAAAAUACCCAUUCUCUUUCGAUGGUAUACACCUUAAAAAUAAUUGCAAUUUGAAAUCAGAGCUGACAAAUUGUGACUUGUUUUGUUUUUUUUUUCAUUUUUUGUAACAAACAUGCAUGUAAAUUUGUGUUUCAAUCAGACAUUAAAUAAGAACGUACAAUACAAUCAUAGCAAUUUUAAAGUAACAUUAAAGAGAAGACCUC